GUACAUGUGAUGAAGCAAAUCAGUAUGAAAAACUCAUGAUACUGUAAACGCUUUCUGAUGUA
ensembl:snoRNA small nucleolar RNA Z39